AGAGUUUGAUCCUGGCUCAGAACGAACGCUGGCGGCGUGCCUAACACAUGCAAGUCGAACGGAGUUAACAGCAGCACUCAGCAGUUAGCAUUCAGCGAUCAGCAAAGGAGAGUAGAUCUUUUUAGCUGACAGCUAAGAGCUGAAAGCUGAGUGCUGUUGUUAACUUAGUGGCGGACGGGUGAGUAACACGUAGGUAACCAACCCUCAAGCGGGGGACAACUCUUCGAAAGGAGAGCUAAUACCGCAUAAGACCACGAACUGGGAUGUUUGUGGUAAAAGGAGCAAUUCACUUGAGGAUGGGCCUGCGGCCUAUCAGGUAGUUGGCGGGGUAACGGCCCACCAAGCCUAAGACGGGUAGCCGGACUGAGAGGUUGAACGGCCACACUGGAACUGAGACACGGUCCAGACUCCUACGGGAGGCAGCAGUGGGGAAUUUUGCGCAAUGGGGGAAACCCUGACGCAGCGACGCCGCGUGGAGGAUGAAGGUCUUCGGAUUGUAAACUCCUUUUGUCGGGGAAGAUAAUGACGGUACCCGAUGAAUAAGCCACGGCUAACUCUGUGCCAGCAGCCGCGGUAAGACAGAGGUGGCAAGCGUUGUUCGGAAUUACUGGGCUUAAAGGGCGCGUAGGCGGUGGAGUAAGUCUGAGGUGGAAGAUUAGGGCUUAACCCUAAAAUUGCCUUGGAAACUGCAUCACUUGAGUAAGCGAGGGGAUGGC
rnacentral:rRNA from 1 species